rnacentral:lncRNA from 1 species
UUGAGCCCCAAUCCAUCCCCUUGGUCUCAUGCUCCUAGGAACGGAGCACCGCCGACUCCUUCGUCGCUGGCCGUCGCCGCCGCGACCAAGAACGUCUCUUCGCCGCCACUGGGCCGCCCCAUCCUCGCGCUCCCCUCUUCUUCCCCGGCCACGCCGUCUUGGCGCCGUGCCGCUCCCGUCGCGGUGAUCAUCUCGCCACGGGCGGACAACUCCAUCAGCCCGCCUCGGCGUCAAACCCGCCAGGACAUCCUUGCCGCCGGCAUCCCCUUUCUCGCUUCCGAGCCCUCAUCACCAACGCCGUCUCGCCUCGCCCGUCGGAGGAGAAUGCGGCCAACUGUUGUGCUCGGUAGAUCCAUCCAAAGCAAGCAAAUUACAUGGAUUGAGCUAACUCACAGUUUUCUCGCAUGCAGAACUGCUGAAGAUGUGACCAAACUGAAAGCAGAGUAGAUUAAUCCGGUGCCAUGCUUGAGAAUACCAGCGUCGUGGUGAUGAUAUGAGUAAGAAGAGACCCUGCGAGUGUUGGUAAAUCGACGCAGUUAUAGUUGAAGUAGGCAAUUGAUAGCGGCUGUUUUUUCUAGUUUAAUUGGCAGUGAUUGAUGAAGAGGAAAGGAUGGGUGGAGCGCAGGAUAUGAACGGCCUCUGUCGCUCCGUCUCCCAAGUAUGUGAGGAUUGCACGGUCCAGGACCAGGAAGCAAGCCGAUCGAAAUCCCCGUCAAUGCGUGGCUUCGCGGAGUGUGUCCAGCAGAGGUUUGCAGGAGUUCGGACGGGCUUGACAGGGCCUGCUAACCAACUUGGGCCUGAUUUCUGUGUCCAGCCGAGAAUAAGAUCUAACGGUGUUUGGCAUCUGACAAUAGAUUGAUCAGACGGCUCUACGGCUCUAAAGUCUCAAUGACGUGGCUUAACCUGGUGCUUC